rnacentral:tRNA from 1 species
GGGAGUAUAGCUCAGUGGUAGAGUACUUGCCUACCUUGCAUGAAGCCCUGGGUUCAAUCCCUAAUACCA